rnacentral:rRNA from 1 species
UACGGGGGGGGCAAGCGUUGUUCGGAGUUACUGGGCGUAAAGGGCUCGUAGGCGGCCAACUAAGUCGGAUGUGAAAUCCCCAAGCUUAACUUGGGAACUGCAUCCGAUACUGGAUGGCUUGAAUCCGGGAAAGGGAUGCAGAAUUCCAGGUGUAGCGGUGAAAUGCGUAGAUAUCUGGAGGAAUACCGGUGGCGAAGGCGGCAUCCUGGACCGGCAUUGACGCUGAGGAGCGAAAGCUAGGGGAGCAAACGGG